GGCAGGACACAGCUCUGCCAUUCCACUCGCGCUCAAAGCAGUGAAAGCCCAGUGAAAGGAUCUGCGGAGGACAGAGAACAGCCGGGAGCAGGAGAGGGACGCGGGGGAGCCCGGGGACCUGGGCUGUGCCCCUGGCCAGCCCUGCUUUAAGGCUGCAAGCAAGGAAAGAAGGCUUCUAGGCGACUGUCUCAGAUCUCUGGAGGUCUGCUUUAAGGCUGGUUUUUCUGCAAUCAAGGAAAGAAGGUUUCAAGGCGACUGUCUCAGAUCUCUGGAAGUUGGUCUGCUUUAAGGCUGGUCAGUUCUUCAAUCAAGAAAAAAAGGCUUCAGGGUGACUGUCUCAG
rnacentral:lncRNA from 1 species